rnacentral:rRNA from 1 species
GAUGAACGCUGGCGGCGUGCCUAAUACAUGCAAGUCGAGCGGACGGACGGGACUCUUGCUUCUCUUCUGUUAGCGGCGGAUGGGUGAGUAACACGUGGAUAACCUGCCUAUAAGACUGGGAUACCGUCGGGAACCCGGAUCUAAUACCGGAUAUUAUUUUGAACCGCAUGGUUCAUCAGUACAAGACGGUCUUGCUGUCCCUUAUAGAGGGUUCCGCGUUGUAUUAGCUAGUUGGUAACGUAACGGCUUACCAAGGCAACGAUGCAUAGCCGGGCUGAGAGGAUGAUCGGCCACACUUGAACUGAGACACGGUCCAGACUCCUACGGGAGGCAGCAGUAGGGAAUGUUCGACAAUGGGCGAAAGCCUGACGCAGCCAUGCCGCGUGUGUGAAGAAGGUCUUCGGAUCGUAAAGCACUAUGAUUAGGGAGGAACGUAUGUGGAUGAAACCCUUGCUUUCUUGACGGUACCUAAUGAGAAAGCCACGGCUAACUUCGUG